rnacentral:piRNA from 1 species
CACCCAGGUCUAUGGUGAGGUGUGAC